UAUCUAAACUUGCGUAUACUUACACACACUAUUUCACAAGAUCCCAUUAAUAGUCCAUGUUCGCUAUUAAUCCAAAGUCUUUCUCAGAUUAUGACGAUCUUCUUAGCCACAAAGAUACUGCAUGUUGAAGAGGUGAAGCUGUCGUAGUCUACAAAACCUGAAAGCUAGUCUUCAAAACCGGCGAUUGCGAAGUGUUUUGGAAAACUCACGGUACAUUAUAAAAAUCGAUGGUACCCCACGCGAAGGUCACCACUACAGCACAGGACAAUAACAGCAGACYUUAAAGAAGGUGUUAAUUUGUGUGGAUCCAGAGGGUACUGAAGAACAAGGAAAAAACCCAUCAAAGUACAGAAGAGAAGCAACAAUCAUUUAUACUAACACAUCACAUUGUGUACAAGUUUACGAAAUCUGCU